rnacentral:RNase_P_RNA from 1 species
CCGGGGAGCCGGGCAGCCGCGUCGGGGCGACCCGUACGAGGAAAGUCCGGGCUCCACGAAACAAGGAUGGCGGGUAACGCCCGCCCGGCGAGGAAACGGCCGUCCGUCAGGGCGGCACGUCCGAAGCCGAGGGACAGUGCCACAGAGAGCAAUCCGCCGAUGGCCCUAACCGGCACAGGCAAGGGUGAAAGGGUGCGGUAAGAGCGCACCGGGGAACCGGCAACGGCGACCGCAUGGCAAACCCCAUCCGGAGCAAGACCGAAUAGGGGCGGCGCGCCCGGCCGAAAGGCGCAGGGCAGGGGUGUUUCGCCCCGUGACCGCCCGGGUUGGUUGCUUGAGCCUUGCGGCAACGCAGGGCCUAGAUGAAUGGCUGCCCUUGCGGGGCCAGUGUGCAACCAUUCGUGGAAGCAUACCGCUCGCAUGACAGAACCCGGCUUACAGGCUCCCCGGCGCA